UACGAAGGUCCCAAGCGUUAUCCGGAUUUAUUGGGUUUAAAGGGUGCGUAGGCGGUCUAUUAAGUCAGUGGUGAAAGCCCCAAGCUCAACUUGGGAACUGCCAUUGAUACUGAUGGACUUGAGUACAUUUGAGGUGGGCGGAAUGUGUCAUGUAGUGGUGAAAUACUUAGAUAUGACACAGAACACCGAUUGCGUAGGCAGCUCACUAAACUGUAACUGACGCUGAGGCACGAAAGCGUGGGGAGCAAACAGG
rnacentral:rRNA from 1 species